rnacentral:rRNA from 1 species
CGUUGUCCGGAUUAUUGGGCGUAAAGAGCUUGUAGGCGGUUUGUCGCGUCUGCUGUGAAAGGCCGGGGCUUAACCCCGUGUAUUGCAGUGGGUACGGGCAGACUAGAGUGCAGUAGGGGAGACUGGAAUUCCUGGUGUAGCGGUGGAAUGCGCAGAUAUCAGGAGGAACACCGAUGGCGAAGGCAGGUCUCUGGGCUGUAACUGACGCUGAGAAGCGAAAGCAUGGGGAGCGAACAGGAUUAGAUACCCUGGUAGUCCAUGCCGUAAACGUUGGGCACUAGGUGUGGGGGACAUUCCACGUUUUCCGCGCCGUAGCUAACGCAUUAAGUGCCCCGCCUGGGGAGUACGGCCGCAAGGCUAAAACUCAAAGAAAUUGACGGGGGCCCGCACAAGCGGCGGAGCAUGCGGAUUAAUUCGAUGCAACGCGAAGAACCUUACCAAGGCUUGACAUAUACUGGACCGCAUCAGAGAUGGUGUUUCCCUUCGGGGCUGGUAUACAGGUGGUGCAUGGUUGUCGUCAGCUCGUGUCGUGA